GGAGUCUAACAAAUACGCGAUUAUGUUGGUGUUUGUAAACCAUGCAUGAGCAAUGAAAGUAAGCGGUGCCAAUCGCAAGAUGCAGCAUCGGCCGAUCGUGCGCCUCUGGCAAAACGUGUUGGCUACGAGCGUAUCUGUUAGGACCCGAAAGAUGGUGAACUACGCUUGGGUAGGAUGAAGCCGGAAGAAAUUCCUGUUGGAGGUCCGAAACGGUACUGACGUGCAAAUCGUUCGUCAAACUUGAGUGUAGGGGCGAAAGACUAAUCGAACCAUCUAGUAGCUGGUUCCCUCCGAAGUUUCUCUCAGGAUAGCAAAGACAGUUAAAAGCAGUUUUAUUUGAGGUAAAGAAUAAAUGAUUAGAAGCAUCUGGGAUUUAUUUGUGAUCUCGACUUAGUUCUCAAACUCUAAAUAUUGUAAUAGCUCGGUAUUUCUUAAGUGAAGAUCGAGGCAGAAUGCUUGUCUUUAGUGGGCCAUUUUUUGGUAAGCAGAACUGGCGAUGAGGGAUGAACCUAACUCUGAGUUAAGG
rnacentral:rRNA from 1 species